rnacentral:rRNA from 1 species
GACGAACGCUGGCGGCGUGCCUAAUACAUGCAAGUAGAACGCUGAAGGAGGAGCUUGCUCUUCUGGAUGAGUUGCGAACGGGUGAGUAACGCGUAGGUAACCUGCCUGGUAGCGGGGGAUAACUAUUGGAAACGAUAGCUAAUACCGCAUAAGAGUAGAUGUUGCAUGACAUUUACUUAAAAGGUGCAAUUGCAUCACUACGAGAUGGACCUGCGUUGUAUUAGCUAGUUGGUGGGGUAACGGCUUACCAAGGCGACGAUACAUAGCCGACCGGAGAGGGUGAUCGGCCAGACUGGGACGGAGACACGGCCCAGACGCCUACGGGAGGCAGCAGUAGGGAAGCUUCGGCAAUGGACGGAAGUCUGACCGAGAAACGCCGAGGGAGUGAAGAAGGUUGUCGGAUCGUAAAGCUCUGUUGUAAGAGAAGAACGAGUGUGAGAGUGGAAAGUUCACACUGUGACGGUAUCUGACCAGAAAGGGACGGCUAACUACGUG